CAGUCGCCACGGUAAUACGAAGGGUGCAAGCGUUACUCGGAAUUACUGGGCGUAAAGCGUGCGUAGGUGGUGGUUUAAGUCCGUUGUGAAAGCCCUGGGCUCAACCUGGGAAUUGCAGUGGAUACUGGGUCACUAGAGUGUGGUAGAGGAUAGUGGAAUUUCCGGUGUAGCAGUGAAAUGCGUAGAGAUCGGAAGGAACAUCUGUGGCGAAGGCGACUAUCUGGGCCAACACUGACACUGAGGCACGAAAGCGUGGGGAGCAAACAGGAUUAGAUACCCCAGUAGUCCCUGUCUCUUAUAC
rnacentral:rRNA from 1 species